rnacentral:lncRNA from 1 species
AGGAUUAGAAUUUUUGAAACAGAAAAAGAUUAUUGCAAAAGAACAAAGAAAAGAAUGAUGUUUGGUAGUUGAAAGGCUAUUCGGUGAUGAUCCAUGCUUAGAGGGUGUUUUUAUUGGGAUAAAUUUAUUUGUUUUGGUAUUUCUUUUGGACAAAAAAGAAGAAAAAUAUUAAGUUAAACUUGUUUUGCUUGAUAAUUGUAUCUGUCAUCUCAUCGGGUGUUGAUCUUUUUGAUCUGUAAUGUUUACCAUUUUACUCCCC